GCAUGGAUGAAUUCUGUUUUACUUCCUGGUAGUAAAAACAGUCAGACACCAUGCUAAAGGAAACUUCAUACUGACAUUUCUGCAAAACAAGGACUCAUGUGCCCUGUUGUUGGUUUGGUGUGAACACAAAA